UACGAAGGGGGCUAGCGUUGCUCGGAAUGACUGGGCGUAAGGGGCGCGUAGGCGGUUUGGACAGUCAGAUGUGAAAUUCCUGGGCUCAACCUGGGGGCUGCAUUUGAUACGUUCGGACUAGAGUGGGGAAGAGGGUCGUGGAAUUCCCAGUGUAGAGGUGAAAUUCGUAGAUAUUGGGAAGAACACCGGUGGCGAAGGCGGCGACCUGGUCCUUGACUGACGCUGAGGCGCGAAAGCGUGGGGAGCAAACAGG
rnacentral:rRNA from 1 species